rnacentral:rRNA from 1 species
UACGUAGGCGGAAAAUUAAGUCAGUGGUGAAAUCCUGCAGCUUAACUGUAGAAUUGCCAUUGAUACUGAUUUUCUUGAGUGCAGUUGAGGUGGGCGGAAUGUGUAAUGUAGCGGUGAAAUGCUUAGAUAUUACACAGAACACCGAUUGCGUAGGCAGCUCACUAAACUGUUACUGACGCUCAGGCACGAAAGCGUGGGGAGCGAACAGGAUUAGAUACCCUGGUAGUCC